AGCCACAGCCACCCCCCGCCUCUGCAGGAGAUCCUCCAACACUAGCAGCCUAGUUUCACUUCUGCCCCAGCUGCUCUGUUCUUGGAAGACGACCUCUGCUCCAGGAGAAAAGUCUUGACUCAUCGGCAGCAGCCCAACCAAUCUCUCACAGUGAUUCUCUUGGAGACACCAGAAGUGUUGCUGUAAGAUCUCAGAGACCCUGAUUCCAUUCCUCAGGAUUCCAUCCCUGAUCAUCUCCUGGGUUGUAUUUAGGGGGUGAAGGGAGGAACCUUGGGCAUCCCCAGGUCAUCACCCACCACCUCUCCAAGCCCCAGACUCCACCACUACUUUCGGUGGGUAACUUCCAUCUGCUACCACAGGCAAGCUAAAAUAAAUCAGGCCUCAAAUGCUCUCUCCUAUCAGCACUUCUACACCAUCACUCCUUCACCCUUUCUGAUUCGUUCACAGCCCUAAGGAUGUCAGGAGACCCCUAAGCUGGAACCCAUUGGAGGAAGGCCAAUGUCUAAGUGAUCAAGAAAGGCAGGAAGAGUUCCUAAUCUGGAGAGGUCACGGGGGGUUUGUGUACAGAGUCAAGAGUCCAAAAUCGGGAAAAGAAAACCAAGGAAACAGAACUGGAGCCUCCUAUGAGGUUUGAAGGAGAAUCGCAAAGGGAGUUAUGUCCUUGAUUCAAUAACAAGGAGAAUUUAAGAGAAAAAUCUAAGAGAGUUUUGUGUCUAACAAGAGAUCCACAUUCCACCCUUUAAACCACAACUACGGGAGCUGGAGAAGCUACACCGGACCCACUGAGGCCAAACCAGGGGGCGUGGGCUCAUGGGACAGUGACCCCAUGAUGUCACACUGGAAGCUGGAAGUAGCACUGGAUCAUCUCCCUUUGGGGAUGGAGUACAGAUAAGCAGACAAAGCAGAAUGUCUGCCGAGGAGAAUGCAAAACAGUGAAUUCCACCCUGAGACACGGUGUGGCUUCGGUGCCAGCGGCCAAACCAACACGUCACAGACAGCAGGCUGGACUUUCCCAGGAACCGCCCCUCUUCAAAACCACCCACCCUCCCAUUCUUGUGACUAUGGUGGGAGAAAUCAUCUGUCCCACCCACAUCCCCUCCCUUGGCCACAAAUGCUUUCUCAUGACGUGCGGCAAUCCUUUUAUGGCAAUGUAGAAACAAAGAGAGCGCCAGGCCAGGAUCUUUCUAGAAACUAAAGCUGGAACAUAUCAAAUACCAGAGCUAAAGGCACCCCUGUUUUUUUACCAUGUGGAUCCCAGCACCUUCCAAUAAAUUCCCCUUUUUCCU